rnacentral:rRNA from 1 species
GAUGAACGCUGGCGGCGUGCUUAACACAUGCAAGUCGAACGAAGCACUUUUAAUUCUUCGGAAGAGAAAGUGACUGAGUGGCGGACGGGUGAGUAACGCGUGGGUAACCUGCCUUAUACAGGGGGAUAACAGUUAGAAAUGACUGCUAAUACCGCAUAAGCCGAUAGAGUCGCAUGACUUAGUCGGAAAAGAUUUAUCGGUAUAAGACGGACCCGCGUCUGAUUAGCUAGUUGGUGAGGUAAUGGCCCACCAAGGCGACGAUCAGUAGCCGGCUUGAGAGAGUGAACGGCCACAUUGGGACUGAGACACGGCCCAAACUCCUACGGGAGGCAGCAGUGGGGAAUAUUGCACCAUGGGGGAAACCCUGAUGCAGCAACGCCGCGUGAAGGAAGAAGUAUUUCGGUAUGUAAACUUCUAUCAGCAGGGAAGAAAAUGACGGUACCUGACUAAGAAGCCCCGGCUAACUACGUGCCAGCCGCCGCAGUAAUAC